GACAGAGGAUGCAAGCGUUAUCCGGAAUGAUUGGGCGUAAAGCGUCUGUAGGUGGCUUUUCAAGUCCGCCGUCAAAUCCCAGGGCUCAACCCUGGACAGGCGGUGGAAACUACCAAGCUGGAGUAACGGUAGGGGCAGAGGGAAUUUCCGGUGGAGCGGUGAAAUGCGGUAGAGAUCGGAAAGAACACCAAUGGCGAAAGCACUCUGCUGGGCCGACACUGACACUGAGAGACGAAAGCUAGGGGAGCAAAUGGG
rnacentral:rRNA from 1 species